rnacentral:tRNA from 2 species
CCAAAUAUAUUAUAUUUGCUUUAAUAAGUAGGUUUGUGGAGCCUAAAAAUCUUAGGAUAUUUGGU